GAUGGAGAGUUUGAUCCUGGCUCAGGACGAACGCUGGCGGCGUGCCUAACACAUGCAAGUCGAACGGGGUCCAUGAGAGCUUGCUCUCGGAAGACCUAGUGGCGAACGGGUGAGUAACACGUGAGAAACCUGCCUUGGAGUGGGGAAUAACUCGAGGAAACUCGAGCUAAUACCGCAUACCUUCUCUUGAUCGCAUGGUCAGUUGAAGAAAGAAUUUCGCUCCAAGAGGGUCUCGCGGCCUAUCAGUUUGUUGGUGGGGUAACGGCCUACCAAGACUACGACGGGUAGCUGGUUUGAGAGAACGAUCAGCCACACUGGAACUGAGACACGGUCCAGACUCCUACGGGAGGCAGCAGUGGGGAAUCUUGCGCAAUGGGCGAAAGCCUGACGCAGCAACGCCGCGUGCGGGAUGAAGGCCUUCGUGGUUGUAAACCGCUUUCAGCAGGGACGAAAAUGACGGUACCUGCAGAAGAAGCCCCGGCUAACUACGUGCCAGCAGCCGCGGUAAUACGUAGGGGGCAAGCGUUGUCCGGAAUCAUUGGGCGUAAAGAGCUCGUAGGCGGUUCAGUAAGUCAGGUGUGAAAGCUCCGAGCUCAACUCGGAGAGGCCACCUGAUACUGCUGUGACUAGAAUCCAGUAGGGGAGUGUGGAACUCCUGGUGUAGCGGUGAAAUGCGCAGAUAUCAGGAAGAACACCAGCGGCGAAGGCGGCACUCUGGGCUGGAAUUGACGCUGAGGAGCGAAAGUGUGGGUAGCAAACAGGAUUAGAUACCCUGGUAGUCCACACCGUAAACGUUGGGCACUAGGUGUGGGGAGGAUCAACCCUUUCCGUGCCGUAGCUAACGCAUUAAGUGCCCCGCCUGGGGAGUACGGCCGCACGGCUAAAACUCAAAGGACUUGACGGGGGCCCGCACAAGCGGCGGAGC
rnacentral:rRNA from 1 species